rnacentral:lncRNA from 13 species
AGUGGUAAGCAUGUGUAAAUCAAAUGAUACAAAUCCCCCAAAAAUCUAUUUUUAUUCCAGGUUGCAAGGCAACAAAAUAGGAAAAAUUCCAAGAGGGGUGAAUACUUUCGCAAGCCACUGUAUCUGUCAGAUCUCCGUCAGAUCCCAUUGUCUUCAAACAUUUGCAUGUUUUUUACUAAUUGCUGUUGUUUUGUAGGGUCAUUGUCUUGGGAAACAUUUGUUGAGCCCUGAGGGUAGGGUCAAGGUAAAUGUGAAAUCCUUUAAAUACAACUUUCUGCUAAAAAUUCUUCAUUUCUACAACACUAUGUCAGUUGGAAACUUGUUUAAAUGUUAACACUUUCUCUCCAUCAGUGUGGGGACAAACCUGGGGCUGAUCCUGGAGUCAACGUGGGACCCUCUGAGGAAACACAGCCUCCUGGUCCAUCUCAGUGCGUUGAUGUCCAGUUGGGUGUUCCUGGAGUGGUAGUCUAUGACCAGUGGACAUCUCCCAUGAACCAGGCACCUCUUCAUUGAUUGAUUGA